rnacentral:lncRNA from 1 species
ACUGCAGUAGUGAAAAUGAAGCGCACGAUGGGCGGAAGCUGUGAGUCCGGCAAAGUUUUAAAAUGAUGACGUAUUUUAUUAACUCUAACGGCACUGGCGGGUGACUGAAAAUACUAGUGCUGUGUAUGCGGGAUAGACAUUAUUUUCCUGCCCUACAUGAGGGGCUCGUGCGCGGAACGACAUGGGCAGCCCCGGCGGAAACUGCAGGCACAAGCCGGGACGCCGCGGGUUUAAAACAUGCGCGUGAGAGGAAGACAAACAUAAAGAUGAAGUGCUUAAUUCAAGGUCACACAAUGUCGGGGAUGGACCUCCAGAUUUCCUUACUGGUGAGACGUGGUCUUGUAACACAGUGGUUAAGAAUGUGACUUUGGAGCCAGCCUGCUAGGGGCUGAAUUCUGACUCAGCCAUUUACUAACUGUGUGACCUUAGGUCACAGAAUUUUCCACACUCCUUGACAGAGGUGCUUAACCCUUAUCCAUCAGCAUUCUCAGACAGCACCUCCGGUUAGGGACAGUAUCUGACCGUCCGACAUCCCUGCAGCCCCCAUGUGUCACACAGACUCAGCCUCAGGUAGAUGGUUUCCGUAGAUGGUGGCUUUCUUUGGACCCUUGACAUCAACCAGUUACUAUUUGCUCCUGCAACCACCGCUGUACUUUCUGUCUCUAUGAACUUGACUACUCUAGACACCUCAUCCAGAGACAGACUCCCAGACUCGGCCAGAGGCUGAUGCCAACUCCUUCCAGCUCUCACGGGGACCAGAUGUGCAGAGGUAAUGAAUACCAGGGAAUCAGGAAACCACUGGAUCAGUUCUUUGAGCCACAGAACAACACUCAUCCCAGCAGCUGGGAAGCUAUCUGCAAAAGUCCAUCUGCAGAAAGGGCUUCCUGGUCUUGCGUGUGGCUGGGCCAUUUCUCUGGAUGCAGGUUUUUCAUUAUACAGUCUUCUCAAAGAACCACCUGCUCUCAACACCUUCUCGGUGACUCCAUUUCCCCUCCUCUGGGCUCCUGGAAUGCCACAAUGGCCCCACCUUAGCCAGGCAGCUGUGAUGAGAGGUGUUGACCCAACUGCCUCUCUGCUGGCUCACUGAAUCAGGUGGAAGGGGCUGGGGACAGCACAGUCUUGCAUUGUGGUUGGGGACCUGGGCCAUCCAGAGGCAGGACUGUCCAAAGGCAGGGUACUGCUGGGAUUCCGCCAGGCACUGGGUGAUGCAUGGCAUAGGGAGCUGAAGAGGGACAGGCUCUUGGCCAGGAAAAACAGCCCCAGAGCCACAGGUGUGCCAUCGAGUCUUCCUCCUCUCCCAUCCUUAAUCACUCCUGUUUGGUGACAGCACACAGCUAGGCCUGGAGCCCAGCAAAGAGCCCCUGGGUCCCAGAGGAAGUUGUUCUGGGGGCUGGAGACAAUCACAAAUGCCAGGUUUGUGAGCCCCAGACUCUGGUUCAUAGCAAGAGGCAGACUUGUGAACAAACCACCAGAUCACACCGUAAAACACGCUCAACGAGGAGUGGGUGCCCUUUCUAGGGACAGGCAGAAGGCUCCAUGGAGUGACCUUUGAAUGGGGACAUAAAAGUGGAUCCCUUCAACAGCCCCUGCACAGCCCCAAGUCAGGCCUCCAGCCCUUGGACUCACAGAUGUCCUCUGUAGACGACUGGAUGUCCUCCCGUGCUACCCUUUACCCCUGCAGCGAGGGGCACAGAGCCAGAGCCCUCCAGGUCCUCACCACUGGCAUCACCAACAUAGUGGACAUUUUCCCUCUCAGAAUGAAAAGGGAGUGAAAUUUCCCGUGAUCUUUCCACAAAUGACCAGCUUGGGGAGUGGGAGAGGAAGUGCUGCAGUGCCUGGGGAAGGGGCCCUGGAACAGUUCCUGGAAAUGGAGAGGGGUGGAUAGGGUGGAGACAAUGCUCAUGGAGUGCAGUAUGGGGCCUACCCAGAGUUGCUUGGCCACCCCUCUGCCUCUGAAUCAGGGGUGAUCAAUGAAGGAAAAUUACUGCAGCAGUUGAGUCCAUGUAAGAUGAUUGUGCACGUGUGUGUGUGUGUGUGUGUGUGUGUGUGUGUCCUCACUCACUUAAAAAAGACCAUUUCUGUGCAUUCUUUAUGCUGGAACCCUCCUCUGCCUCCCUCUCCAGGAAAUCCCAUAGGAUCCCAUACCUGCUUUAGAAUGUGUGUGAGACACUUCCCAGUGCCUGGCAUGUGGUAGGAGCUCAGUACAUGUAAACUGUUUUCCUUUGACCACUCAAAGUAGUCACUUGUUGGGGAGGCCAAUGGCGGCUUCCCCGGUCUCUGAGCUGAUGGGCGUCUGGUCCCUGCCUCCCCUUCCUUCACUGGCUGAUGACAAAUACCUGAAUGUCAUCACAUCCUCCGUGUCCUCAUCUGUUAUUCUGGAACACAGGCCAGGGAGGGUACAGGGUAGUCCCCCUUCAACAGAGGCUGGCCUUUCUUGGGAUGUGGGCUGGCUGGUGUUGGUCCAAGGAUGGAUGCAGAGGGUGAGGCACCCAUCCUGCUAGUCCGGCCGGAUGCUGGCAGGAGGGCGGGGUGAGGAGGGGCGGAGCUUCCAGAACAAAGGAGAAUGGGGAGCCCAGGGGCCAGCCUAGGCAUCAAAAAGGCUCUGCAGAGUGAACAGGCCACAGCACUGCCUGCCUCUGCCCCAGCAGUCAGCCAGCCGACCGCGCCUGCUCCCUCCUGCUUGCCCAAGGCCGGGCAAGUCAUCCCCACUCUGCUUCGAGAGGCCCCGUUUUCCAGCGUGAUUGCGCCGACACUGCUCUGUGGGUUUCUCUUCUUGGCGUGGGUUGCUGCUGAGGUUCCAGAGGAGAGCAGCAGGAUGGCCGGGAGCGGAGCCAGGAGUGAGGAAGGCCGCCGGCAGCAUGCCUUCGUCCCGGAACCUUUUGAUGGGGCCAAUGUCGUCCCAAACCUCUGGCUGCACAGCUUUGAAGUCAUCAAUGACCUCAACCAUUGGGACCAUAUCACCAAGCUAAGGUUCCUGAAAGAGUCCCUCAGAGGAGAGGCCCUGGGUGUCUACAAUAGGCUCAGUCCCCAGGACCAGGGAGACUAUGGGACUGUGAAAGAGGCCCUCCUGAAGGCCUUUGGGGUCCCUGGGGCUGCCCCCAGCCACCUGCCCAAAGAGAUCGUCUUUGCCAACAGCAUGGGUAAGGGCUACUAUCUCAAGGGGAAGAUUGGCAAAGUGCCCGUGAGGUUCCUGGUGGACUCUGGGGCCCAGGUCUCUGUGGUCCACCCAAACUUGUGGGAGGAGGUCACUGAUGGCGAUCUGGACACCCUGCAGCCCUUUGAGAAUGUGGUAAAGGUGGCCAAUGGUGCUGAAAUGAAGAUCCUGGGUGUCUGGGAUACAGCGGUGUCCCUAGGCAAGCUGAAGCUGAAGGCACAGUUCCUAGUGGCCAAUGCGAGUGCCGAGGAAGCCAUCAUUGGCACUGAUGUGCUCCAGGACCACAAUGCUAUCCUGGACUUUGAGCACCGCACAUGCACCCUGAAAGGGAAGAAGUUUCGCCUUCUGCCUGUGGGAGGGUCCCUGGAAGAUGAGUUUGACCUGGAGCUCAUAGAGGAGGACCCCUCCUCAGAAGAAGGGCGGCAGGAGCUAUCCCACUGAGAAGCCACCUUUUCUUUAACCUCCUAAAUAUUGGUGGGAAGACCCACCGCUGUGGGGGGGGUUGCAUAUCCUCAUGGGGGUCACUGGGCUUGGCCAGUCUGCUUAUCAACUCUUGCUCUUCUCUCCCCUUUGCCUCCCUCUGCAGGGGCCUUAAUCUGCCCCUGGUAGGGGAGGCUUCCACUGAACAGGCACAGGUGAGGGAGAGCAGGCUGGCUUAGAGGGACAGGGUCCCCAUGGUCAUCAAGCUGCUGUUGAUGACAAAGACUCAAAGGCUGGAAGAGCUCCCAAGGAAGCUAGAAAUGCUUGUCUUUGAAAGAACUGUGGGACCCCUUCAGAUUCCCUGAGGUAUGGCUUGGUCACUCUCAGGUCCUCAAAGCCUGUCUUAGUUGGGCUGGGUCCUAGCUGCAGGGUCUUUGUGAGGGUCACAGUUGCUCUGGGACACCUCCCUGAAGAGCCUUUCCACCUGUACAAUCGUAUUUUCUUUCUGUCAUUUGCUUUGAAGCCCAUUGUGCCUUAUGCCAAUAAUUCAAUUGCUGCAAAC